UACGAAGGGAGCUAGCGUUGUUCGGAAUCACUGGGCGUAAAGCGCACGUAGGCGGAUUUGUCCGUCAGGGGUGAAAUCCCGGGGCUCAACCUCGGAACUGCCUUUGAUACAGCAAGUCUUGAGUUCGAGAGAGGUGGGUGGAAUUCCUAGUGUAGAGGUGAAAUUCGUAGAUAUUAGGAAGAACACCGGUGGCGAAGGCGGCCCACUGGCUCGAUACUGACGCUGAGGUGCGAAAGCGUGGGGAGCAAACAGG
rnacentral:rRNA from 1 species